rnacentral:rRNA from 1 species
CCUUUAGAUGGUCUGGGCGGCACGCGCGCUACAAUGAUGCAUUCAAAAAGUCUUCUGACCUUAAGAGGUCCGGUAUUCUCCAAAUUGCAUCGUGCUGGGCAUAGUUGAUUACAAUUUAUAAUCUUCAACGAGGAAUUCCUAGUAAGGUCAUCAACUUGUGUUGAUUACGCCCCAGCCCUUUGUACACACCGCCCGCCGCUCCUACUGAUUGAGUGUCUCGGUGAAUUAUUUGAUCUUCUGUCGAUUCACUUCACUGAUCCGACGGUGGACAGUUGAAUGAACUUCGUCAUUAGAGGAAGGAGAAGUCGUAAAG